GGCACCGUAGUGCAGUGGCAAGCACACUCAAUUCCCUGAGGUUCUGGGUUCGAUUCCCAGACCCGGUGCCU